CCUACGGGCGGCAGCAGUGGGGAAUAUUGGACAAUGGGGGGAACCCUGAUCCAGCCAUGCCGCGUGUGUGAAGAAGGCCCUCGGGUUGUAAAGCACUUUCAGUGAGGAAGAACGGCUGGUGGUUAAUACCCAUCAGGAAAGACAUCACCCACAGAAGAAGCACCGGCUAACUCCGUGCCAGCAGCCGCGGUAAUACGGAGGGUGCGAGCGUUAAUCGGAAUUACUGGGCGUAAAGCGCGCGUAGGUGGCUUGAUAAGCCGGUUGUGAAAGCCCCGGGCUUAACCUGGGAACGGCAUCCGGAACUGUCAAGCUAGAGUGCAGGAGAGGAAGGUAGAAUUCCCGGUGUAGCGGUGAAAUGCGUAGAGAUCGGGAGGAAUACCAGUGGCGAAGGCGGCCUUCUGGACUGACACUGACACUGAGGUGCGAAAGCGUGGGUAGCAAACAGGAUUAGAUACCCGUGUAGUC
rnacentral:rRNA from 1 species